GGGGCUGUAGCUCAGUGGGUAGAGCGCUUGCCUCGCAUGCACAAAGGCCUGGGCUCAACCCUCAGCACCA
rnacentral:tRNA from 1 species